rnacentral:lncRNA from 1 species
CAAUGAGAAAGGCUAGGAUACGGGAUGCAGUGGGAGCACCAGAUAAGGGGCAUCUAGCUUAGACUGGGGUAGAGAUGGUGAUGCCAGUUUAAAAGCUGAGAUCUGAAAAGUAAGUAGUUGACAGCUCAGGGAGAAAGGCCAAUGUCCCUAAAGUCUGAAUAAGAAUUCAGUCCGGAAUGAAAAAUAAGUGGGUGUGACAAGAGGCAGGAUUUUUGAUCUUUGGAGAAAUAGAACUAAGAAACCUCUUAGAGAUUUGGCAGCAUGGGAGAACCGUAGUGUUGAAAACAUACUUUCUGGGCUAUUGGGUCGCCUAGUGACCCUUGCUUGUCACUCUAAGCAUGAACCCCACCUGAGCUCCUUCACAUCCAGUGACUAGCUACUGCAGAGAUAAAGGCAGUCUCACCGCACCCUUGCACUGCUCUUGCUGAAGUCAAACCUGAUCAUUAUAUAAGAAAUCACAAGAAAACUCCCAGCAGCACUUUAGUCAGGGCUUGAGUGCCAUCAACUACAGGUCCAAAGAUACAUGCAGACUUUUGCAGCAUUCUCUCACCUCUGGAGGGUGGAGAAAGGGGACUAACCCAGUCAGCAGGUUCUCACAGCACAGGGUGCACACCAGUCUGACUUGACUCUUUGUCAUUGAUAACUGCAAUUCCCAGGCAGUGUUCCUGGGCUCUGGUUAGCCUUUAUGUAGUCAGCUGUCUGCCUUGAUUAUUAGAGGUGCUGGUCCUCAUAUUAGCCCCCUUCAUUAUGGGCCACUGGGGAUUGUUCGUUGUAGGGGCACUGAGUCUCCAAAUGGUUGGAGACAGAACCUGAGAGCAGAGCCCAAACGUGGUUCCACCAUUUUCUAGCUGAUGAGGAUUAAUGCCUGGGGAACAUACGCUCCGCUCCUUCCGUUGUAAAGCUGCUAAUAAAAGCAGCUACCUAUUACGGUUAUGCGUAUUAAAUGAGAUAAUGUAUGUAAAGUGAUUAGCUCUGUCUGGCACGUAAUAAACACUCAGUCCCUGUUAAUGUAC